GAUGAACGCUAGCUACAGGCUUAACACAUGCAAGUCGAGGGGCAGCAGAUCGAAAGCUUGCUUUUAAUGCUGGCGACCGGCGCACGGGUGAGUAACGCGUAUCCAACCUUCCCUAUAGUAGAGGAUAGCCCGGCGAAAGUCGGAUUAAUACUCUAUGUUUUCCAAUGCAGACAUCUAAGUUGGAACAAAGGUUCACCGCUAUAGGAUGGGGAUGCGUCUGAUUAGCUUGUUGGCGGGGUAACGGCCCACCAAGGCAACGAUCAGUAGGGGUUCUGAGAGGAAGGUCCCCCACAUUGGUACUGAGACACGGACCAAACUCC
rnacentral:rRNA from 1 species